CUUUCAUCAAGAGCUGGCUGAGGGACUGGCCCGAUGACGCCGCGGCAACCAUCGCAUCUUUGGGUGCGAAACGGUGCCAAUUCCUGCAGAACGGAUAAGUUCUGACAGAUGAGGG
rnacentral:ncRNA from 20 species